UUGUUUGUUUAUUUGUUAUAUAUUUACUGAAUAUAACACAUAUUUAAUACAAACACUUACAAUAUUAAACAAACAAAUUAAAGACGGUAAAAAUGUCGCUAGUAGCUGACUACGAAAGUGAUUCAGACGGUUCGAAUUCCACUGAGGAAAGCCUCUCCACAGACAUUAAAACAGAAAUAAAAAGGCAAGAAGACACCAGUUCCGAUGAAGAGAAGAAACUACCGCCUCCCAGUUUCAAAUUACCCGCCCCCAAGUUCGGUGGAGAAACAGUAGAGGAUGACUGUGAGGAGGAUGAAUCCUCGGGUUCUGUGUUUGUCAAUCCGUUUCUAGAAGCCGAAAAUGCCAAAGAAGCGAUUUUACAGAAACACGUUAAAAUGGUUAACGCCAAGGAUGUGAUUAGGAUAAAUGGUAAAAAAAUUUGUUGGAAUUACCGAAAAGGUCGAUGCAGGUUCGGGCAUAAUUGUAAAUACGCCCAUGACUCUGAUGUGCAAAAGACCGAGCAACAGUUGAGCGAGGAACUGGAAGUGGCUAAGGCCAGGGCGAUGGUUUGUCACUAUAGUGGGGCCACAGGGCAAAAAUCUGUUAGUAGACCAUUACAAGAUGAGUCUGAAGAGUUAUCGGAGGAGGUUAAGAAGAAAAGGAAGCGCCCGGGGUUGUCCCAGGGCCUCGUCCCGGGCAAAAAGGUCAUGAAGCAAUACUUACAUAACAAAACCUAGUUCGACUUUCAAAGAUGGUUGCAAAAUGAAUGCAAACUAUUGCAAGUGCAAUAUUUUUAAAAUACUGGUGCUAAAAAGGCUUGUGAAGGAUAUGAAAAUAUAUACCUAGAGUGUGUACGAUCAGGCAUUAAUCGAAGGAUCACUUCCAAUCGCAAAAGAGCAUCAAAAAGUCAAGGUACUGCCAAAAUAAAUUAUGGAUGUACAAGCCAAAUUAUAGUAAAAAGAAAAUAUAGAAACUGAUGAAUGUGUGUCCAACUAUUUUAAAAAACAUUAUGGGCACGAAAAAGAAAUACAGUAUUUGAAGAUUCCAGAGUCAGAUCGGCAGAGUAUAGCCUCAAAACUACUUUUAGGAGUACCCCCUUCCAAAAUUUUAGAAUCUGUAAGAGACAACAUUGAAGGCCCUGAACUAAGUAGGAUUGAUUUACUCUCACUGCAAGACUUUUAUAAUGUGAAAAACGCUUUUAAAAUUAAUAUUAUGGAAGGAUGUUACCAUCAAACAGAUUCUGAGAGAAUUCGAAUAUGGGUUGAGAAAUGCAAGGCAGGACAAAAUGAUCCAAUAAUUUUUUAUAAACCACAAAAUUCGGUAUGUCCAGAUUCUAUGUUAAAUCCAGAAGAUUUCUGUUUAAUUUUUAUAAAUCACAAAAGGAUCUGGCAAAGAAAUUUGGACAUCAUGCAAUUUCUAUAGACAGCACCCAUGGGCUUAAUGCUUAUGAUUUUGAGCUUACAACAGUUUUGAUAAUUGAUGACUUCAAGCAAGGUUUUCCCAUUGCAUUUAUAUUUACCAACCGAAAAGACACCCUUAUUUUUACACUGUUUUUUCAGAAAAUAAAAGAAGCAGUUGGAGUCAUAAAUACGCAAACAUUUAUGACAGAUAUUACUCCUAUUUUUUACAAUGCUUGGUGUGUUAUCAUCGGUCCGGUAGGUAAACAGAUUUAUUGCUCUUGGCAUUUAGAUCGCGCCUGGCGCAACAAUUUAAAUAAAAUUAGGGAUAUUGAGACAAGGAAAUGGGUGUACAAGUCUUUAAAAUAUUGUCAGCAAAUUAAAAGUAUUGACGAAUUUAACAGUUCUUUAUUAAAUUUUAAGAACGCAGUUUUGGAAAAUGACUUAGCUAAAGAAUUUGGACAAUAUUUUUUAAAUAAUUACUAUCACAUUCCUACAAAGUGGGCCUAUUGUUAUAGGGUGAUGGCAGGAAUCAAUACCAAUAUGCACCUUGAGGCAAUGCAUAAAGUCAUUAAAUACACAUACCUUAAUGCAAAAAAAAUUAUGACACACAACAUGUUUUGGUAAAGUUUUUGCGAGAUAAAACACUCGACAGACUUAUUAAAUUAAUCAAGGGAAAAAAUACAAGUCACACAACUCAGAUUCAUGCGAGACAUAGGUCAGCAUUAGCCUCGAAAUAUGAAAUUAAAAAGAUUGCAACUGACUCUUGGCAAUUAACAUCAAAACAAAGACCUUAUCGUGAACAUAUCGUACAAAAAGUAUUAGACAAUAUUUGUUGUGACAUUCAAUGUAAUUUUUGUAAAAUUUGUAUUCACACGUAUGAAUGCUCAUGUAUUGAAUAUACUAUACAAACGGUUAUGUGUAAACACAUACAUACCAUAAACCUGAAUUUUGAGAAAAAUAUGAACCGGACUGUCUCCUUAAAUGCAACUGAAGAAAUACAAAAUUUAACGGCAAAUAUUUCUGUCGCUCCAAAUGAACAAAAUUUAAUUUUAUUAAAAGAAGGCACCAUAUCAUCAUUACUAGAAGCUUUAAAGGAUCUUCAAUCUAAUGAGGACACAGAAACCCAAUAUAAAUGUAUUCAGGAACACUUAAAUGCCAUAAAGUCGACGACUACGUUGACUUCUCAAAUAGAAGAAUUUCAUCAAAAAGGAGAAGAAUUGAUUCGUAAUGCCAAUAUUGAGAAACAACUUAAUUUUUAUACUACCAAGAAAAAAAGGAAGUUACAAGAUAAUUCAAUUCAGAAGCCAAGUCAAGAUGAAAUUGAUGUGAUAAAGGAAUUGAUUUUCGGAGAUCUGGUUGUAUCUAGAAAUACAGGAAAUGACCAUUUAUAUUGACAAUUAUGUAUAUUUAAUAAUAUUGUGUUGAUAUAGCUAAUAUUAUAAUGAAAGCAAUAAAAUGACCUAUACAUAAUUAUACACAGUGUCUCUA